rnacentral:rRNA from 1 species
GACGAACGCUGGCGGCGUGCUUAACACAUGCAAGUCGAACGAUGAAGCCUAGCUUGCUAGGUGGAUUAGUGGCGAACGGGUGAGUAAUACGUGAGUAACCUACCUUUAACUCUGGGAUAAGCCUGGGAAACUGGGUCUAAUACCGGAUACGACCAAUCUCCGCAUGGGGUGUUGGUGGAAAGCGUUAUGUAGUGGUUAUAGAUGGGCUCACGGCCUAUCAGCUUGUUGGUGAGGUAACGGCUCACCAAGGCGACGACGGGUAGCCGGCCUGAGAGGGUGACCGGCCACACUGGGACUGAGACACGGCCCAGACUCCUACGGGAGGCAGCAGUGGGGAAUAUUGCACAAUGGGCGCAAGCCUGAUGCAGCGACGCCGCGUGAGGGAUGACGGCCUUCGGGUUGUAAACCUCUGUUAGCAGGGAAGAAGAGAGAUUGACGGUACCUGCAGAGAAAGCGCCGGCUAACUACGUGCCAGCAGCCGCGGUAAUACGUAGGGCGCGAGCGUUGUCCGGAAUUAUUGGGCGUAAAGAGCUUGUAGGCGGUUUGUCGCGUCUGCUGUGAAAGGCCGGAGCUUAACUCCCGUGUAUUGCAGUGGGUACGGGCGGACUAGAGUGCAGUAGGGGAGACUGGAAUUCCUGGUGUAGCGGUGGAAUGCGCAGAUAUCAGGAGGAACACCGAUGGCGAAGGCGGGUCUCUGGGCUGUAACUGACGCUGAGAAGCGAAAGCAUGGGGAGCGAACAGGAUUAGAUACCCUGGUAGUCCAUGCCGUAAACGUUGGGCACUAGGUGUGGGGAACAUUCCACGUUUUCCGCGCCGUAGCUAACGCAUUAAGUGCCCCGCCUGGGGAGUACGGCCGCAAAGCUAAAACUCAAAGAAAUUGACGGGGGCCCGCACAAGCGGCGGAGCAUGCGGAUUAAUUCGAUGCAACGCGAAGAGCCUUACCAAGGCUUGACAUAUACUGGACCGCAUCAGAGAUGGUGUUUCCCUUCGGGGCUGGUAUACAGGUGGUGCAUGGUUGUCGCCAGCUCGUGUCGUGAGAUGUUGGGUUAAGUCCCGCAACGAGCGCAACCCUCGUUCUAUGUUGCCAGCACGUUAUGGUGGGGACUCAUAGGAGACUGCCGGGGUCAACUCGGAGGAAGGUGGGGAUGACGUCAAAUCAUCAUGCCCCUUAUGUCUUGGGCUUCACGCAUGCUACAAUGGCCGGUACAGAGGGUUGCGAUACUGUGAGGUGGAGCUAAUCCCUAAAAGCCGGUCUCAGUUCGGAUUGGGGUCUGCAACUCGACCCCAUGAAGUCGGAGUCGCUAGUAAUCGCAGAUCAGCAACGCUGCGGUGAAUACGUUCCCGGGCCU